rnacentral:rRNA from 1 species
UACAGAGGUGGCAAGCGUUGUUCGGAAUUACUGGGCGUAAAGCGCGUGUAGGCGGUUGUCCAAGUUGGAUGUGAAAGCCUUGAGCUUAACUCAAGAAAUGCAUUCAGGACUGGAUGACUAGAGGACCGGAGAGGAUAGUGGAAUUCCCAGUGUAGUGGUGAAAUACGUAGAGAUUGGGAAGAACACCAGUGGCGAAGGCGGCUAUCUGGACGGUUUCUGACGCUAAGACGCGAAAGCGUGGGGGAGCAAACAGG